rnacentral:pre_miRNA from 17 species
CUUUUCAUUGGCCAAAUGUGGGCGUUUCUUUGGCAGUGUCUUAGCUGGUUGUUGUGUGCAUUGCGAAAAAGCAAUCAGCAAGUAUACUGCCUCAGAAACACUUCACCGUAUCCGGCCCAACGCA